rnacentral:rRNA from 1 species
AUACGUAGGGUGCGAGCGUUGUCCGGAAUUACUGGGCGUAAAGAGCUCGUAGGUGGUUUGUCGCGUCGUCUGUGAAAUUCCGGGGCUUAACUCCGGGCGUGCAGGCGAUACGGGCAUAACUUGAGUACUGUAGGGGAGACUGGAAUUCCUGGUGUAGCGGUGAAAUGCGCAGAUAUCAGGAGGAACACCGGUGGCGAAGGCGGGUCUCUGGGCAGUAACUGACGCUGAGGAGCGAACGCAUGGGUAGCGAACAGGAUUAGAUACCCUGGUGGUCCAUGCCGUAAACGGUGGGCGCUAGGUGUAGGGGUCUUCCACGACUUCUGUGCCGUAGCUAACGCAUUAAGCGCCCCGCCUGGGGAGUACGGCCGCAAGGCUAAAACUCAAAUGAAUUGACGGGG